CAAUAGGAGGCGUUUAUAGAGGACUUUGGUGGAGGUUGGCAGUUUUUAAGACUCAGAAUUGUCUCUGUUACAUUCCACAGCAAGGAAGGGCUCCGUGACCUCCCUCACCUGGGCUGCUUGGCAUCAUGAGCAUUAAAUGGUGAAGUGUUGACGAGUAGAAAACUUCCCUACAAAGAAGAUUGGCAGCCAGUGGAGUUUGAGUGGGAAGGUGAUGUGGUCAGACUCGUGCUUAAGAAAGAUCACCGUGACAACUGAGUAGAGAAUGGACCAGAUUGGAGAGAGACUUGAGAUAGGUGGAUCAACGAACAGGUUAUGGUAAUACUCUGAGGAUUAGGUGAUGAGGGCCUGAACUCAUGGGGGUGGCAAUACAGAGGAGAGAAAGGGACCUAGGUGA